rfam:Dipodomys ordii contig_1247, whole genome shotgun sequence.
GGUGAUUCAGUGGUAGAGUGCUUGCCUUGCAUGCAUGAGGCCCUGGGUUCAAUUCCUCAGCACCA